AGCAGCCGCGGUAAUUCCAGCUCCAAUAGCGUAUAUUAAAGUUGUUGCAGUUAAAAGCUCGUAGUUGAAUUUCGGGAUCAAUUAAUUGGUCGUGCCUCUGGUACGUACUGAUUUUAUUGGUUUCUCCCUUCUGACGAACCAUGAUGUCAUUAAUUUGGUGUCGUGGAGAAUCAGGACUGUUACUUUGAAAAAUUAGAGUGUUUAAAGCAAGCUAACGCUUGAAUACAUUAGCAUGGAAUAAUGAAAUAGGACGUUUGAUCCUAUUUUGUUGGUUUCUAGGAUCGACGUAAUGAUUAAUAGGGAUAGUUGGGGGCAUUAGUAUUCAAUUGUCAGAGGUGAAAUUCUUGGAUUUAUUGAAGACUAACUACUGCGAAAGCAUUUGCCAAGGAUGUUUUCAUUAAUCAAGAACGAAAGUUAGGGAUCGAAGACGAUCAGAUACCGUCGUAGUCUUAACCAUAAACUAUGCCGACUAGGGAUCGGAUGAUGUUAAUUUUUUAAUGUACUCAUUCGGCGUCCG
rnacentral:misc_RNA from 1 species